UACAUCAUAGUUUAUGAAGAACAUUAAUUUUUGAUAUUAAUAGACAGUUUAAUUCUGAUUUUGUAA
rnacentral:tRNA from 1 species